rnacentral:rRNA from 1 species
GAUGAACGCUAGCGGCAGGCUUAACACAUGCAAGUCGAGGGGUAGAAGUUGCUUGCAACUUUGAGACCGGCGCACGGGUGCGUAACGCGUAUGCAAUCUACCUUAUACAGAGGGAUAGCCCAGAGAAAUUUGGAUUAAUACCUCAUAGUAUAAUUGAAUGGCAUCAUUUAAUUAUUAAAGUUCUAACGGUAUAAGAUGAGCAUGCGUCCUAUUAGCUAGAUGGUAAGGUAACGGCUUACCAUGGCAACGAUAGGUAGGGGUCCUGAGAGGGAGAUCCCCCACACUGGUACUGAGACACGGACCAGACUCCUACGGGAGGCAGCAGUGAGGAAUAUUGGACAAUGGGCGCAAGCCUGAUCCAGCCAUGCCGCGUGCAGGAAGAAGCAUCUAUGGUGUGUAAACUGCUUUUGUACGGGAAGAAACACUCCUUCGUGAAGGAGCUUGACGGUACCGUAAGAAUAAGGAUCGGCUAACUACGUGCCAGCCGCCGCCGUAAUAC